rnacentral:rRNA from 1 species
CCUACGGGAGGCAGCAGUGAGGAAUAUUGGUCAAUGGCCGAGAGGCUGAACCAGCCAAGUCGCGUGAGGGAAGACGGCCCUACGGGUUGUAAACCUCUUUUGUCGGGGAGCAAAGCGAACCACGUGUGGUUCAUUGAGAGUACCCGAAGAAAAAGCAUCGGCUAACUCCGUGCCAGCAGCCGCGGUAAUACGGAGGAUGCGAGCGUUAUCCGGAUUUAUUGGGUUUAAAGGGUGCGUAGGCGGAUUAGUAAGUCAGCGGUAAAAAUGCGGUGCUCAACGCCGUAUCGCCGUUGAAACUGCGGGUCUUGAGUGAGCGAGAAGUAUGCGGAAUGCGUGGUGUAGCGGUGAAAUGCAUAGAUAUCACGCAGAACUCCGAUUGCGAAGGCAGCAUACCGGCGCUCAACUGACGCUGAGGCACGAAAGCGUGGGGAUCGAACAGGAUUAGAUACCCGGGUAGUC